rnacentral:tRNA from 1 species
UGGGAGGUGGCUCGGUGGUAGAGCACUUGCUUUGCAUGCAUGAGGCCCUGGGUUCAAUCUCCAGCCCUACAG